AUAGUCAUGCUUCUUUUCAUAAUUGAAUGAAUCUUUUGCCUUUUACUAAAGAUUCAUGAGGGGAGGGAAAAGCAUGACUGUUGCUUCAAUUUUUUGAGGGCUUGUGGGAAUAAACAAGGCU
ensembl:snRNA U5 U5 spliceosomal RNA